AGCAGUAGCCGCGGUAAUACGUAGGUCCCGAGCGUUGUCCGGAUUUAUUGGGCGUAAAGCGAGCGCAGGCGGUUUGAUAAGUCUGAAGUUAAAGGCUGUGGCUCAACCAUAGUUCGCUUUGGAAACUGUCAAACUUGAGUGCAGAAGGGGAGAGUGGAAUUCCAUGUGUAGCGGUGAAAUGCGUAGAUAUAUGGAGGAACACCGGUGGCGAAAGCGGCUCUCUGGUCUGUAACUGACGCUGAGGCUCGAAAGCGUGGGGAGCGAACAGGAUUAGAUACCCCGGUAGUCCCUGUCUCUUAUACA
rnacentral:rRNA from 1 species